rnacentral:rRNA from 1 species
GACGAACGCUGGCGGCGUGCUUAACACAUGCAAGUCGAACGGAAAGGCCCUGCUUUUGUGGGGUGCUCGAGUGGCGAACGGGUGAGUAACACGUGAGUAACCUGCCCUUGACUUUGGGAUAACUUCAGGAAACUGGGGCUAAUACCGGAUAGGAGCUCCUGCUGCAUGGUGGGGGUUGGAAAGUUUCGGCGGUUGGGGAUGGACUCGCGGCUUAUCAGCUUGUUGGUGGGGUAGUGGCUUACCAAGGCUUUGACGGGUAGCCGGCCUGAGAGGGUGACCGGCCACAUGGGGACUGAGAUACGGACCAGACUCCUACGGGAGGCAGCAGUGGGGAGUAUUGCCCAAUGGGCGGAAGCCUGAUGCAGAAACGCCGCGUGCGGGAUGACGGCCUUCGGGUUGUAAACCGCUUUCGCCUGUGACGAAGCGUGAGUGACGGUAAUGGGUAAAGAAGCACCGGCUAACUACGUG